rnacentral:tRNA from 1 species
GGGAGUAGCACAAGAGGUAGAGCACAUGCUUAGCAUGCAUGAGGUCCUGGGUUCAAUCCCCAGUACUUCUG